AAAUUUCCAAAAAGGUGACCACAGGGAGAAAAACAUGAAGAUAACCACCAGCUCAGACCCAGCCGGGGCUUGUGGCCAUGCCCACCUGCUCCUGUGUGUCCUGGGCCUCGGGCAAGCCACUCAUCCUCUCCCCACUGUUUCCAGUCUGUAAGCUGGGAUUAGUGACGCUGCCUUCUCAGUUGUGGGAACCUAGAAGGCAGCAAUGGGCCUCUCUCCCUAGGUUGCAACCCGGGGCUGGCACGUAGUAGGUCUGUUUCCAGCUGCCACACACGCUACCUUACCAGGGGUCCCCAAGAGACAGGACAGGGUGAUGGGCCCAUUUCACAGGGGGAAAAACCGAGGCAAAGAAAGGCAGUGGAGACUCGUGCUUCUGCUUCAGUAGCUCCUGCCAUGGACUUGUCAUGGGAACCCCCUCCCACAAGCUCUGUCCCCGGCACCCUCUGGCACUGUUAGCCAGCGGAAUCCAGCUGUCACCAUGGCCUGGUUCUUAGCACCCCUGGGAACUUUUAGAGCCUCUGGCCUGUGCUAACUGAGGUUGGGCAGCUGCUGGCCAGGGCCCUAGAGAGAGGGGUAUCAGGUAGCUAGUGCUGAGUAACAAAUAGCUCCAAACACAUGACUUCACAUGUCCUUAGUAUUAAAGGGCCUGGUGGUACUGCUGCUCAUUGCUAGGCCUGGCAAGUCCUAGCUGGGCUCACUCACACAUCUGUGGGCAGCUGGGAGCUAGCUAGUCCAGGAUGGCCUCAGCUAGGGUGACCCAGGCUCCAUCGCCCUCUUGCCUUCCAGCAAAGCAGCCCAGCCCGUUCUCGUGCUAUAGCAGGAGUCGGGGAGAGCAGGCAGAGGCACGCAUGUCCCUGGAGGCUUAAGCUCAGAGCUGGGAAUGUCAUUGCUGUCACCUUUUAUUGGCCACAGCAAGUCAUAAGACAGGCUCAGAUUGAAGGAUGGGGAAGUAGACGCCACCUCUAGACAGGAGUUGGGGCAAAGUCACACAGCAAAGGGCGUGGUGAUUCAGGGAGGAGUGGGGCAUCGGGGACACGUUUGUAACUGAUCUACCACAGAGGGGAGCCCCCCUUUGAGAAAGUGCUUGGUGGGCCUUGGUGCUUACGCAGCCACGGACCAACCUGCUAGAUGGGGCCUUCAGUAGGGUGGCGGGACGUCAGUUUAGCCUCAGGAUUCGACUCCGAGCCUCUUGCGAGACCACGUCUUGGGCAGCAUCGUAGACCCGGCUGUGAGCACAGAGUGGCUCUUCCAGAAAGUUUGUUGAAUGACUGACUGACCUAAGUCAGUCCCUGUGCCAGGCAGCCCAGAGGGACCAGCCCAGAGCCUCCUUCUCGGGGUGCAAGCCUGGCUUGGGAUUGGGGGGUGUCUGCACUCGUGGAGCCCCCCAUGCCUGCCGGGAGCCUGAAGACGCAGAGACCUCCUGCCUCGCCUCGCCCCCUCCGUGGGGACCCUCUUCCCCACACUCCUUGGUUCCUGUCGGAGCCAAGAUGUGUCACCAUGGAAACCGCUUGGCAAACGCUGGCAGGCAGAGGCGGCCAACAGCAGCUCUCCCGAUCGAGCUCCGGGCACCGGCUGGAGCAACGUCGCGGGACGGCGUGAGCGAGCACACCCAGCCGUGCUGACAGGACCGGCAGAGGUGGCCACUGCCCUCGUCCCCAGCCUGCACUCCUGGGCGAAGGCUGACGCUGAACAGGUACUUGUAAGAGUCGCCGAAGUGCGUGCCGGGAGGGUUCUGGGAAGAGGCAGCUGUGGGGCCUGAAGCCUAAAUGUGGGGUGGGAGGCAUCCAGGCUGCGGCUCCAGGCAGAGGGCACAGCCCGGCUGUGAGCCACCACGCCUGGCCCCAAGGGCCUUCCUGUGUGUCCAAUUCUGGGCUCAGAAGCAGGGGGUCACCCUGCAGAAUAUCUAAGAAGGCUGAGGCUGUGUGGGCACAUGGACCCAGCAGGGAACAAGACUUGCCCAUUGUUCUGACAGACUCGAAGAUGGAUCUGGCCCUGGUCCCUGCUUUCCCUCUGACCCCAGGCCCACCCGGCAAGAAUGGCUGAAGUCACAUAGCAGCCUGGCCCUGGCCCCUCUGAGCCUGUGGAGAGCCCUAGUUGUCUGUGAUUGGGGAGGGGGGAUCAAGAGACCCAACUGCAUUGCCUGCCCUCCUUCCCAGGCUUCCAGUCCUCCCAGUGGAUCCCACCUCUGCACCUUUGCCCAGGCUGUGCUGAGACCUGGAAGGCCCCUUCUCUCCCUACUCCAUCUUGACAAAGCCUUCCUGCUUCAGCUCAGAGGCACCUCUUCCAGGAAGUUGGCCCUGAUGGCCCCAGUGGAAGGGAAGUUCCUUUCAACUGAGUGGGGAGGCGCCCCACCCUAGCAGCCCCUCCCAGACCCCAAGCAGCCUUGGGGCUCCCCAGGCACUCGCCUGGCAGAACGGAAGCAGGGGUGGCGGCUGAGGUCUGCCACCCUCGCUGAGCGCCCUGCAGCCCCUGUGGUUGCAGUUUUACUUGUUUUGAAAGCCCCAUUAAUGAUCAGAAGUUUGGGAAAGGGGGCCUGGCUGGGCUAGACUGGGGGGACAUGGAGCCCCAGGGACCAGCCAGGCCCCUUUCUGACCAGACCUCUAAUCUGAUGUGAUGGCACCACUGGUGGGUGGGACACAGCUGUCCCCAGAAUGUACCUGGGGGAGGAAUGACUUCACCUCCCCUGCCGGGUGAGUCACCUUCUGGGGGGUGGGGGGGCGGUGGAUGGAAGAGGUCAGGCUGCCUCAUUCCCCUAAGACACUGCUGGGCCUGCUUCCCCUUUUGAGGGCAGAGAAACGUCCCUCCCUCAGCUUGGAAGAGGAAGGGGCCAGAUGCGCUGUCCUGUGCACCUUCCAAAACACCCCCUGACCUCCAGCACCCGGGGACUGCAUUUACCUUUGUUCCCAUUUGUCAGAUGGAGAGGUCGAGGCCUCGGGAGGAGCCGGGCUUCCUCCCCACCCCACUUCUUGCUCCUCUGCUCUCCCCGAUGCCCACUUAGCCCCCACUCCCACCCCGCUCCACACACAGGGACAUAUGAACAUUAAUGGGGACUCCCCAAGCCCUGGCAGGGCCCCCACAGCUGUAUCCAUGGGUCUGUCCGACCCCUGGGUCCAGCCACACCUCUGCCCCCGGGGCCCCACCAGCUCUGUGGGGAGGCGAUGCCAGCUGCAGGCGGGGACAGCGUCGGGGCCAGGGCAGAAGGCCCCAAGCCUCUGAGUCAGCCGGGCAGGAAGGAGGCCAGCAGCCUCUGCCCGCAGCCUGUUCCGUCACGACCCCCCCGCCCCACCCCAGAGUCUCAGCUUCCUCGUUCAGAAGAGGGGCCUAUGCCGUCCUAUGAGAAGUGGGUGGGCACAUGGUGGGUGCUCAGGGAGGACCACAGCCACCCAGACGGGGGUCAGGCCACGUGACGGUGAGGGCCCUCCAUCCUCCCGCCAUCCCCAUCACUGUCCACACCCCCCAGGCAGCUGCUCUGCUGACUCAGGACCGUCCAAGGCCAAGGUGGGGUCACAGCCCUGCCAGCCGCCCCCAAGGCCAGGGUAGCCCCCAGCCAGGCUUAGAGUAAGGGGGUCUCUGCAGGCCCAUUCAGCACGUCAGCACUCUUCUGGAGGGGGCAGCGACGGGGGAGGGCAAGGCACCCCCCCAUAGAGAGGCACUUUUCACAGUGUGUCGUCUCCUUGGAGCAGAGUGGGGGGUGCAGAGGCACCAGGAGGGGGACCUGGAGCCCUGGGGUCGGGGGAAGCAGGGUCAGGCCAGAGCAGGAACUUGCAAGGGGCGCGGCCAGGGCAGUGCCAGGCCAAGGGUGUAAGCCCCAGGGAAGGGGUGGGGGCUCAUGGUGAAGAGGAAGUGAGCCGCCCCGGGGCUGCCAGGAGGGUGAGGGGAGGGAAUCCCCGCAGAGGCUGCAGCACCCGUCCCCUACUCAGUCACCCUCAAAGGCUGGAUUUGAGGAAGGAAAAGCACCGCAGAGCUGCUGUAUUUAAAAAACAAGCGUCUGGAUCUCUGCAGGGGCUGGGAC
rnacentral:lncRNA from 10 species